rnacentral:lncRNA from 1 species
UUGGAUCAUGAAUGUUCUUAGGUAAUUCUUGCAAGACUUUGAGCAAAAAUUUCCGUAUACUUGUUGUCUAUAAUAUGUAUUCACAGAUAUGCUUUGAUUAUUUUCGUUUGUAUUGCCAUUAGUUGUCUGUUCCCAUAUAAUUUUUUGAUGGUUACUCUUUUCAAUUACUAGUUUUUAUGAAGAGAGAGGAAUUGAUGUGCCUGUGUCCCUGAAAUUAUGUGUCUAAUUUAGCCUGAGCCAUCCAGUUCUUUUACGAUCUUGGGGCACAAUCUUGACUUAGGUUUGCCUUUGCUGUCUAAAAAAUUUGAUUCUUAUGCUUUUUAUGAUAUAUAUUUGAUGAUUGGACCUUCCUUGUCAAUUAGCUUUGCAAAUAGACUAUAUGAGUAUUCAUUACUAAAAAUUUUGUUUCGGAGAAAUUCAUUCAUUUCGGUUAUUUUCUCAAAAAGAAAAUGAAGAAAACAGAGGGUCCUUUUUUUCUUAAGCUUGAAAGAAAGGAUUCUUUUGAAACUCUUUUGAAACACAAGGAAGAGUUCAUUUUCUCUCGCCUUUGGCAUAGUGGGCCCCAGUGGGAGGCUCGCAUGACGGGCUAUUAGCUCAAGAGCUCUCUAUCUAAGACCUUCUAAUUGAGAUAUGAAUCUACACUAGGUUGUACAAAAAAAGCUACACCUUUCGCUUGGUUGUGCUAUCAUUUUCUUGUUUAUACUGUAAAUAGUUAGAUGCAUGCUAUUGAAGCAACUAUAAAUAUGAAAUUCACCAGAUUGCCUAUUGCACAAAUAAACUGCAAUCAAAGUGUAUCAAAAGCAAUUCCAUUGGUUUUUUUUUUUAGGUGCCUCAGAAUAGAAUUACCUGGUGGGGAGCCUGGGAUUGACAACGGUGUUUUGAUUAAGUGGAAGGCAGAGUUUGGGCCCACGCUAGAUAAUUGUGUCAUUCUUAGAGCUUCUGCUGUUAUUACGGCCGCAAACAGUGCGUGUUCGAGUGCUUGCAAUGUUAAUAAUGAUAAUGAAGCUGAGGACGAUAAUGGGAACAUACCCGAGUCGUUUUACGCGAAGUGGACAGUAAGCUCCUUAAUUUCUGCUUCAGCAAGUCAUUACAUGCUGCAGCCAAUAAUAGCAGAGCACAGGAAGUUGGACAGUUUGGUUUUGACUGAUGCCGAUGGGCAAGGGGUGUUGUCGAUGAAUAAGGACCAAUUGGAGGAGCUGAGGGUGAAGCCUUUAUUAGCCUCCGCUUCUAAUAGGACUUUGGUUCCAUCUCUCAAAAUGCAGCUGUGGUACGCCUCUCUUUUGGAAUUACCCAAUGGAAUGGUCUUGAAAGGGGCAACUCUGGUUGCAGUCAGGCCCAGUGAACAGCCAAAGGAGGUGAUCGGUUCAGAAGGAAAUUGGGUUGCCUCAAAACUCGAGGAGCCAUUCGGGACCGCAGCAAGGAUGUUGAUGAAAAGAAGGACUUAUUGUCUGGAAAUGAACUCAUUCUAAGAUGAGCUUCGCUCAAGGGUUGGAUCAUGAAUGUUCUUAGGUAAUUCUUGCAAGACUUUGAGCAAAAAUUUCCGUAUACUUGUUGUCUAUAAUAUGUAUUCACAGAUAUGCUUUGAUUAUUUUCGUUUGUAUUGCCAUUAGUUGUCUGUUCCCAUAUAAUUUUUUGAUGGUUACUCUUUUCAAUUACUAGUUUUUAUGAAGAGAGAGGAAUUGAUGUGCCUGUGUCCCUGAAAUUAUGUGUCUAAUUUAGCCUGAGCCAUCCAGUUCUUUUACGAUCUUGGGGCACAAUCUUGACUUAGGUUUGCCUUUGCUGUCUAAAAAAUUUGAUUCUUAUGCUUUUUAUGAUAUAUAUUUGAUGAUUGGACCUUCCUUGUCAAUUAGCUUUGCAAAUAGACUAUAUGAGUAUUCAUUACUAAAAAUUUUUUUUCGGAGAAAUUCAUUCAUUUCGGUUAUUUCUCAAAAAGAAAAUGAAGAAAACAGAGGGUCCUUUUUUUCUUAAGCUUGAAAGAAAGGACUCUUUUGAAACACAAGGGAGAGUUCAUUUUCUCUCGCUUUUGGCAUAGUGGGCCCCAGUGGGAGGCUCGCAUGACGGGCUAUUAGCUCAAGAGCUCUCUAUCUAAGACCUUCUAAUUGAGAUAUGAAUCUACACUAGGUUGUACAAAAAAAGCUACACCUUUCGCUUGGUUGUGCUAUCAUUUUCUUGUUUAUACUGUAAAUAGUUAGAUGCAUGCUAUUGAAGCAACUAUUAAUAUGAAAUUCACCAGAUUGCCUAUUGCACAAAUAAACUGCAAUCAAAGUGUAUCAAAAGCAAUUCCAUUGGUUUUUUUUUUUUUUUGUAGUAGUAUUGAAUACAUUGCUUCAUUUAUUUCCAUCGAUGCAUUUGUUGACGUCAAAACUUGCUAAUCACGAUUUUGAGCCAACUUUUAAGAAGACAAGCACUUUUUCUUGAUAAUGGAGGUUAUAAGUAUUAUUAUUAUUAUUAUUUUUUUUUUUGGGAGUGAAUUGCCUUUUUAUAUAAUUAUUGUUGUGGUCCCUUGUCCCCUCAGGGCUACUGAGGUGAAUAUUCGGCUUUAAACUUCAGUGCUUCGUGGAAUUAGUAGAGGUGUGCGUAAGUUGCCCCGGACAAUCAUGGUAAAAAAAAAUAAUAAUAAUAAAUAAAUUUAUUGUUGUGGCCCUUGGAGGGGACCAUCAUUUUCUUUUUAUAGAGUGAAUUAAGUCUAAUUCUUAUGGAAUUAUGUCUUGUCAAUCGGAUCAUUCAUAAUGCUGAGCUUGAUUUGUGUGCCACCGAUCUCUUAUUUGAUUGGCUACUGAGGUCGACUCUCAUUAAAUCGUAAUUAUUCCCUUUUUAUCAAAAAAAUAUAGUCCGCUUCAGGAUAGGUAGCUAUAGUAGCUAAGUCGUGGGUUUGGACGGUGUUGACGUUAUUUCUUCUAAGUGUGUCUGACUGAUUGGGUGAUUGACAAGGUGUAAGGAAUUUGCAAUCAUUAUGUUUAUUAAAAUUACGACGGUCACGAGAUCGAGUUGAGCUUUCAAACCCGACUUGGUAUGUAGAUGAGAUAGGCUGUAAACAUAUUUUAAGUGAGAUCGGGGAUCAAUGGUCAACAGCAUUCAUGCGUCAGUAAGGGAUAUAUUUCUACAGUUCCAGAUAAGUUUGUUUUGAGUUUUAGGCUACUGAACCUGAGCAAUAAGGCAGCUAUUUAUAUUAGUAUGUGACAGUGAUGUUUAUUAUUAUUAUUUUUUUGUUAGUAUAAAUUUUCUUGCUACGUUUCCACUAAUAGAAAUUUUCAAUUUGCAAAAAUGGGAACUGGGUUUAACCUGGAAAAGCUCACCACUUUACGUGAUUUAUUCGAUUUAAUUUAGGUCCAUUUCAUUUGUG